ensembl:lncRNA
CGAAGCGGGCGGAGAGAAAGGGCCCGCGCCGAGGCAGCCUGGUGGAGACGCGAGCGCCGGGGGACCCCGGGGCUAUCGCGCGCGCCGACCGCCGCCUUCCGCGGCCCCCAGGUUCUCUUGGGAACCUUACGCUCGCGCUCGAGAGGUGGCUCAGAGAUCUGGGCUCCCGCGAGCGCACGUCCGGCGGAGGACCGGGCUCCGGGGGCGCCGUCUCCGCGGCGACCACGUGGGUGACCGCUAGGGAGCGCCGUGGGCUCCAGGGCCUCUGCCCGGCCAGGCCGGCGGCCAGGAGGACCGCGCCGGCCCGACCUCCCAACACUUCAGCGUUCUCUCCUGGGUGCGGGAAUCGCCUCCGCAGACUUUCCUCCCGCCGCCUGGUGGCCGCCCCCCAGCCGGGCCCUCCUCGGUCAGCCCCGUCCCCCUGGGAAUCCUGGAGUCAGCGCGCUCUCUGUCCCUGCCUCUGGGAAGGGCGGCACUUCUCAAACGUGGAUCCUACAAAGCUGGAACCCUCCGGAGGCUAACAGUGACCGCCCCCACCCCAUCCCCAAUCUCAGCUCCCAGCGAGGUCAGGGCCCCUCAGGAACAAACAAUACACAGUCGCGAGAAGUUUUGGCCCUGAAGCGUUCGCCACCUGACACAAGCUGGCGGACCCCGCCUUCCAGAGUUGCUCCCGGCAGUUUCCUGCAGAAAACCGCAGCCCAUCCCUGCAGGUCCAGCCCUUACACCCGCCCCACGGCUGUUUCCCCAUUUCUGCUGUUCGAGAGGCUUCUCCCUGAACUGAACUUUGUUCUCUUUAUUCCUACUCAGAUUUUCUUCCUUCUCUUCCUCCUAUUCCUGCCAGCUGACCCCCACAGUCUUCCCAGGGGAUGGGGGCUGGCGAGUGUGCCUAAGGAAUGUCACAUACCAACCGUCAAGUGUCAGGUUUAAGAGAAUCUCAGCCAAAUGUUAGCAUUUACAGAUUAAGUGAAAUCUGAACACAUGGGUUGUUCAUGUUUCUGGAAGAUUUGCAACAAUUUGGGGUUCACCAUUUUAAAUAUCUAACCAAUCGAGG